rnacentral:misc_RNA from 1 species
UUUCCGUAGGUGAACCUGCGGAAGGAUCAUUAUUGUAUAACCGAGGUGCGAGGGCUGUUGCUGACCCGAAAGGUCGUGCACGCCCGAGUGCCCUCACACACAUCCAUCUCACCCCUAUGUGCACCACCGCGUGGGUCCCCCUUUGGCUUGUUCGGAGGGGGGCUUACGUUUUCACACAAACUUUGUAUGCAGUGUAGAAUGUAUUUUUUGUUUUUGCGAUCACGCAAUCAAUACAACUUUCAACAACGGAUCUCUUGGCUCUCGCAUCAAUGAAGAACGCAGC